CGUGGAGACAGGUGGUGCAUGGCUGUCGUCAGCUCGUGUCGUGAGAUGUUGGGUUAAGUCCCGCAACGAGCGCAACCCUCACCCCUUGUUGCCAUCAGGUCAUGCUGGGCACUCUAGGGGAACUGCCCCGGUCAACGGGGAGGAAGGCGGGGAUGACGUCAAGUCAUCAUGCCCCUUACGCCCUGGGCUACACACGUGCUACAAUGGCCGGUACAAAGGGAUGCGAGACCGCGAGGUGGAGCCAAACCCAAAAAGCCGGUCUAAGUUCAGAUUGGAGUCUGUAACUCGACUCCAUGAAGGAGGAAUCGCUAGUAAUCGCCCAUCAGCACGGGGCGGUGAAUACGUUCCCGGGCCUUGUACACACCGCCCGUCACACCACGAAAGUCAGCUGUACUCGAAGUCGCUGAG
rnacentral:rRNA from 1 species